UAGGGAAUCUUCGGCAAUGGACGAAAGUCUGACCGAGCAACGCCGCGUGAGUGAAGAAGGUUUUCGGAUCGUAAAACUCUGUUGUUAGAGAAGAACAAUGACGUUAGUAACUGAACGUCCCCUGACGGUAUCUAACCAGAAAGCCACGGCUAACUACGUGCCAGCAGCCGCGGUAAUACGUAGGUGGCAAGCGUUGUCCGGAUUUAUUGGGCGUAAAGCGAGCGCAGGCGGUUUCUUAAGUAUGAUUUGAAAGCCCCCGGCUCAACCGGGGAGGGUCAUUGGAAACUGGGAGACUUGAGUGCAGAAGAGGAGAGUGGAAUUCCAUGUGUAGCGGUGAAAUGCGUAGAUAUAUGGAGGAACACCAGUGGCGAAGGCGGCUCUCUGGUCUGUAACUGACGCUGAGGCUCGAAAGCGUGGGGAGCAAACAGG
rnacentral:rRNA from 1 species